GCCUGAUAUAUAGGAUUGGACGGUGGAUAAAAGUAAGCAUAAGCCUUUCGGCCAGGAACUUCAGAUGGAAAUUCAAUAAACUCAGGAAGACUGAAGUACGACUUAAAUUUCAAAAUAUCCGGCGAAGAUGACCAGAUAAUAGUGAAGCCUACUACUUCCAAGGUUCUUUCAAUCAGGGUCACCUUGGCAAUAGAUGAUGGAUGAAGUGCUGAUGAUCCUUCCACAUAUAUACAUUGACUUCCCAGAGCAAUAUUUUCAAUAUCCGUAAAUGGGAUAUCAAGCAAGGAUAGUGAGCUUUGCGCCUCAUCCAGAACUCCAAGAUAUGAUCGCCCACGCUGUCUGUAGCUGCAGACUAUGAU
rnacentral:misc_RNA from 1 species